ACGUUCGGAUUGUAGUCUGCAACCCGACUACAUGAAGCUGGAAUCGCUAGUAAUCGCGAAUCAGAAUGUCGCGGUGAAUACGUUCCCGGGUCUUGUACACACCGCCCGUCACACCAUGGGAGUCGGAAAUGCCCGAAGUCAGUGACCCAACCGUAAGGAGGGAGCUGCCGAAGGUGGAGCCGGUAACUGGGGUGAAGUCGUAACAAGGUAUC
rnacentral:rRNA from 1 species